GAUCGUUAGGAACGAAACCGAGCCCUGGAUCAGAUAGGACGCACGUCACGUUAGGGAAGAGACGGGCGAAGCGGCGGCCCCGAACGAGCUGGUUCUUUCUGAAACCCUCGUCAUGCGGCCGAUUCGCCCAACCCAGGGCUAUCUCUUUUUUGAUCUUCCACUUUGAAGGCCAUUUGCGGCGGCGCCCAUUGUCCCCCCGGCGAGGAAGGAAAAAAUGGAAGAUUCUGGCCUAGAGUUCCUUCUAGAUGCCAUUUACAGGUUUUCGUUGCGGGAGGAGUUCGCCGACAACCUAAGCACCCAGAUCCGGUUCCCCUUGCCUUGUUGCCGCAGAACGAGGAGGACCUGGGCAUCCCAGCGGACUCAAAUGCAAAUUCUAGUUGUGGCCAACAGCUCGGCGGCGAGAGCCGUGGCGGACAGCGCGGAGACGUUCGUCGGCGGAAAGAUGCUUCUGCGACAAGCUCUACCCAGUCAACUGACAGAGUGAACCUUGACAAAAAGCAUAAUCCUUUAUACACGAAGAAGGGCGAGUUCCAGGCUGAGUAUUACAAGGUUGUCAAUCACAUGUUAACUGAAGAUGAAUUUGAGACUGCGUGGGCUAUGCUAUUAGAUAAGUAUGAUUUGUGAAGCACCCGUACAUGACCAAGAUAUAUGAAAUCAGGAAGAAAUGGGCAAAGCCAUAUUUCAAGGGGGUUUUCUGUGCCAAGAUGACGAGCACGCAACGCAGCGAGAGCGCCAAUAACAUGAUGAAGACAUACAUGCCAGCCCAAUGCAUGCAUUUGUUAAGCAGAUAUGAGGGUGCAACUUGAUCGGGAGCGUGAGAGAGCUACGACGAGAAGAGGACAAUGAUUGGUCGGGCAGUUCGGAGGAAAAAUUUGACUGUAGAGCGACAUGCAAGUAAAAAUUACACAAGAGCUAUGUUUGAGGAGUUUGGUCGGCUACUGAUUGAAGGAACAUCUUACAAUGUUACCGAGGUGGAGAAGAUGGAGAAGUAUAUUACAACACACAACAAUGCGUCAAGAAGAGAGAAGUGGAGCAGGGUUGAGUACUCACGGUCAGUGAUGACCGGUCCGAGUUUACAUGCGAGUGUGGACAAUUCGAGCACACUGGAAUGUUGUGCAGCCAUGUUUUGCGGGUCAUGAACAUACUUCUUCUGGAGGAGAUCCCGGUGAAGCUUAUUGCGAAUUGCUGGACCAGGGAGGGACAUACUCCCCUUGGACCUGGUUCAACAUCAGAAGGAUAAUUCAGUGAAAUUGUCAUUCACAUGCAGACACUCAACACUUACCUGAAAGCUAUGCAGGUCGUGCGGACGGGCAACGCGAGUGCCGAAGCAUUUGAACACACGAUGAGCGCACCAUUGGCAGCGAAGAGGGAUGGUUUAGGUUUUUAAGACCAUAAUGAGAGACUCGAACUGGGUAGAUUGGUUUACUAUGUUGGUGCUGAUAAUGGUAACCAAGAUAACAAUGAUGGAAUGCCCUUCAAGGCCUAGCGCCUCCUGAUAAGCAACAAGAGGUCGGCAGGCCAACAAAUGGCAGCGAAAAGGCGGCUUAUGAGGGUCUGAGCAAGUGGAGAAGAUUCUUUAGCAUAUGUCUUUGAGAGGGACAUAAGCGCACUACCUGCCUGGACAGAGACGAUGCUCCGAAGAAACCAGGGAAGCCUGGCAAAUGCAAAAACUGUGGCAUGGAAGGAAACCGCUGGAUGACAUGCACAAUGCCGCUUGGAGUUGCUGAAAAUGAGUUGCAGAAAUAUGAAAUCUACUAUUUAAAAUGUUGGUUAUCGAGGAUUUUCUAGUGUGUUCAAGUAAGCAUUUGCUCCACGCUUGUUCCUCUUGUGGUUAGAGACAUGACAGCUGUAUAACAAAAACAGAAUUCAUUGGUCACACAUGAUAUUCAUUAAUUUCUGAUAGGCAAA